GCCUGGGUGGCUCAGUCGGUUAAGCGUCCGACUUCGGCUUAGGACGUGAUCUCACAGUUCGUGGGUUCAAGCCCCGCAUCAGGCU
rfam:Felis catus isolate Cinnamon breed Abyssinian chromosome A3, whole genome shotgun sequence.